rnacentral:lncRNA from 1 species
AUGCUGAUGUAAAAAUUUAGUUUGCUCUCGCUUCACAUACACAAACAUCAACAUGGGUCAAUUGCUGUCGUCAGAAGACGAGGCUUCUCAGGUGAAGGAUGCGGUGGGUUCGCUCCUCUACGAUGCCAUGAAGGAGGGCGGGGCUGUACCUGAGCUGGGCGUGGUCCACCCGUUCCUUCUGGCCAAUCACGAUGAGAGCUCCGACUCUCAGGCCCGCCUCAAAGAACACCUGCAGCAGCUGCAGGGCGACAUUGGGAACAGAGCACCCACGUACCUGAAGGAUCUGAUUAACCGGCUGACGACCUUCUCGGAUGAGCCCCGCUUAGCUGGACUAGUGGGAUUAGUGGUCACCAUGGUGAUUGAUAUGGCAUACACCUCAAAAUCGCGGGUGAAAGGAAAGACAUCAGGCUCAUCAUGUCAGCAGAGGAUGUGGGAGCUGCAGGAGGUGAUGGAGGAAUACCUGAAGCGCUGCAGGAUCAACCUGAGUGAUAAAAGUAAGCUGAUCCAGGACUGCGUCCGACUUGAGGCCCAGGUCAGCCUCACCCUUACUCAGCUGAAGACCUGUCUGCUCGUGGGAGACUGUGACUCCAGGUCUCUGAGGCACUGGGCCAGCGGAGCCUCGUUUCACACCCAGAUGCUGCUUCACCUGGCUGGUCUUGAGGGGCAGGUUGAGCCACUGGCUGCAAGAGCAGCACUGGAGCAAUACAAGGAAGACCUCACACAGAUCGUACCCGCGUACAGACGCUACAAGGCCAAUACAGUGAGCGUGGUGAAAUGUCGAGGGGGCCCCCUCGCACCCCCCUCCAGCGAGGUGCCGGAGAACGGGGCCAUGACGGGACUCACCGUGACGGACAGGGAGACUGGGAGGAGUGUGACCAUCCCUCUCUGUGUCCUGGAGACGGGGACAGGAAGAACACUAGGAGCGUCGGGGACUGACGACAGCCCCGUGUCGUCCUCCAUCAACCCAGACCUGAUCUCCUCGGAUCAGUACCUCCAGGCGUACCUCGACCAUCUGUUCUCCAGUCAGGGGCCCGUGGCAGAGCUGCAGAACUACUUUAAUAAGAGCAGUGACUACAUGAGAAGCCUAAUCGUUCCACCACAAGGCAAAAACAAGAGAGGGCUGAUAACUUCAGCAGAACAAAGCCAUAAAGACCCUUUGAAAGAUCAGGCAGAGGCAAUAUGUGGAGAACAAACAGUGGACAGAGCAAAAGGCGAUGAGCAGGGUGAGAUGGAAAAGAGGUUGGAGUCCAAUCGCAGGGAAGAAAGUUUGAAACUGAGUGUUGUGGAGACGCGGCCAGAGGAAACAAGCAGUCCUCACCAUGUGCCAAGAACGUGA